rnacentral:rRNA from 1 species
CACGCGUACCCAUCCCGAACACGAACGUUAAGCCUUCCAGCGUCGAUGGUACUUGGACCGCAGGGUCCUGGGAGAGUAGAACGUCGCC